UACGGAAGGCAGCAGUGGGGAAUAUUGCACAAUGGGCGCAAGCCUGAUGCAGCCAUGCCGCGUGUAUGAAGAAGGCCUUCGGGUUGUAAAGUACUUUCAGUCGUGAGGAAGGUGUUAAGGUUAAUAACCUUAGCAAUUGACGUUAGCGACAGAAGAAGCACCGGCUAACUCCGUGCCAGCAGCCGCGGUAAUACGGAGGGUGCGAGCGUUAAUCGGAAUUACUGGGCGUAAAGGGCACGCAGGCGGUUAAUUAAGUUGGAUGUGAAAUCCCCGGGCUUAACCUGGGAAUGGCAUUCAAGACUGGUUAGCUAGAGUCUUGUAGAGGGGGUAGAAUUCCAUGUGUAGCGGUGAAAUGCGUAGAGAUGUGGAGGAAUACCGGUGGCGAAGGCGGCCCCUGGGACAAAGGACUGACGCUCAUGUGCGAAAGCGUGGGGGGCAAACAGGGAUUAGAUACCCGU
rnacentral:rRNA from 1 species